rnacentral:pre_miRNA from 1 species
AAAAAGAUAAACCCUGGGUUUCCGUGCCAACGUUUGACUGUCCGUCUUAUAUAAAUUUUUUUUAUAAUUAGUAUUUUCAUUGUUGUUAGAUGAUACAACAUAAUUAAUACUUUAUGCAUGACUUAUCUUUUUAAUUUUUUUCAUAAUUUUUUCAAAUAAGACGGACUGUCAAAUAUUAGAUACGGAAACCAGUGUUUAUC